GAUGAACGCUGGCGGCGUGCCUAAUACAUGCAAGUCGAGCGAACGGACGAGAAGCUUGCUUUUCUGAUGUUAGCGGCGGACGGGUGAGUAACACGUGGAUAACCUACCUAUAAGACUGGGAUAACUUCGGGAAACCGGAGCUAAUACCGGAUAAUAUUUUGAACCGCAUGGUUCAAAAGUGAAAGACGGUCUUGCUGUCACUUAUAGAUGGAUCCGCGCUGCAUUAGCUAGUUGGUAAGGUAACGGCUUACCAAGGCAACGAUGCAUAGCCGACCUGAGAGGGUGAUCGGCCACACUGGAACUGAGACACGGUCCAGACUCCUACGGGAGGCAGCAGUAGGGAAUCUUCCGCAAUGGGCGAAAGCCUGACGGAGCAACGCCGCGUGAGUGAUGAAGGUCUUCGGAUCGUAAAACUCUGUUAUUAGGGAAGAACGUAUGUGUAAGUAACUGCGCACAUCUUGACGGUACCUAAUCAGAAAGCCACGGCUAACUACGUG
rnacentral:rRNA from 1 species